UACGUAGGUGACCAGCGUUGUCCGGAUUUACUGGGCGUAAAGAGCGCGCAGGCGGUCGUUCAAGUCGAGUGUGAAAGCCCCCGGCUCAACUGGGGAGGGUCAUUCGAUACUGAUCGACUGGAAGGCAGGAGAGGGAAGCGGAAUUCCCGGUGUAGUGGUGAAAUGCGUAGAUAUCGGGAGGAACACCAGUGGCGAAGGCGGCUUCCUGGCCUGUUCUUGACGCUGAGGCGCGAAAGCUAGGGGAGCAAACAGG
rnacentral:rRNA from 1 species